AUACUUACCUGGCUGGGGAGAUACUGUGAUCAUGAAGGUGGUUUUCUCAGGGUGAUGUUUAUCCAUUGUACUCCAGAUAUGCUGACCGUUGAGCGUUCCUCAUAUGUGGGAAACCUAACUGCAUAACUUGUGGUAGUGGGAGGCUGCAUUUGCAUUCUCCCC